GAUUAACGCUGGCGGCGUGCCUAACACAUGCAAGUCGAGCGGCAGCGAGUUUUACACUGAAUUCUGGAAGCUUCUAGUUGAAAGAGAAGAUUUAUUCAAGAAUUUUGUGUAAAAUGUCGGCGAGCGGCGGACGGCUGAGUAACGCGUGGGAACGUACCCCAAAGUGAGGGAUAACGCAUCGAAAGGUGUGCUAAUACCGCAUAUGGUCUUCGGAUUAAAGCCUUCGGGCGCUUUGGGAACGGCCUGCGUAAGAUUAGAUAGUUGGUGGGGUAAUGGCCUACCAAGUCGGCGUACUUUAACUGGGUUGAGAGGAUGAUCAGUCAGACUGGAACUGAGACACGGUCCAGACUCCUACGGGAGGCAGCAGUGAGGAAUCUUCCACAAUGGGCGAAAGCCUGAUGGAGCAACGCCGCGUGCAGGAUGAAGGCCUUCGGGUUGUAAACUGCUUUUAUAAGUGAGGAUUAUGACAGUAACUUAUGAAUAAGGAUCGGCUAACUACGUG
rnacentral:rRNA from 1 species